rnacentral:rRNA from 1 species
UAGGGAAUCUUCGGCAAUGGGGGGAACCCUGACCGAGCAACGCCGCGUGAGUGAAGAAGGUUUUCGGAUCGUAAAGCUCUGUUGUUAAGGAAGAACGAGUGUGAGAAUGGAAAGUUCAUACUGUGACGGUACUUAACCAGAAAGGGACGGCUAACUACGUGCCAGCAGCCGCGGUAAUACGUAGGUCCCGAGCGUUGUCCGGAUUUAUUGGGCGUAAAGCGAGCGCAGGCGGUUAGAUAAGUCUGAAGUUAAAGGCAGUGGCUCAACCAUUGAAGGCUUUGGAAACUGUUUAACUUGAGUGCAGAAGGGGAGAGUGGAAUUCCAUGUGUAGCGGUGAAAUGCGUAGAUAUAUGGAGGAACACCGGUGGCGAAAGCGGCUCUCUGGUCUGUAACUGACGCUGAGGCUCGAAAGCGUGGGGAGCGAACAGG